rnacentral:misc_RNA from 1 species
CAGUGUUGGAGCAUGCGCAGAAGGUCCAAGUCGAACAAAUCUCGUCUUGUCCUUUUAGUAUGGCGGAGUUCGACGUGCGUGUCGUGUCUUUCGUUACAUAACUUAUUACUUAUGAGAGAAUAAGACUGGAAUAUAAGAAAAGGAGGAACGAAAAGAAAUAGAAAAAAAUACGUAACUCGAGGAAUAGUAUAAAUUUGAGAAAUCUAUAUAAAUAAGUUAAAAUCGUGGAAGAAAAUAAAGAAAAUAAAAGAAGCGACAAGACGGUGAACAACGAUUCAUCUUUGUUGUUAGAAAUUGGUAAUACAAAGACAGUGCCUAUCGCGGAUCAAGAAUUAUGCCGGAGAUUGGAGACGUACAUCGCUAGUAGUACCGGCGAGGAUGCCGUUGCAAUUGAAGUUGAAGAAGCGGUAACGAACAUUGAACAUCAACAGAACGUUGACGCUAACAUGUCGAAGAUUCAAGCGAAUAAUACAACAGGGACUAAUCGUAUCCUGCCAACGCUUAGUCGUUUCAAGUAUGAAUAUUUUGUCGCCGGUAUAUCCGGUGGCGUUGUUUCGACAUUGACCCUUCAUCCGUUAGAUCUAAUCAAAAUUAGAUUGGCAGUUAACGAUGGACGUGCAUCAGUACCACAAUACAACGGUAUAGUAGAUGCCUUCAGGCAAAUUGUGAAAAGCGAAGGAAUACGUGGAUUCUAUAGAGGAGUUACACCAAACGUCUUGGGAUCAGGCUGCUCUUGGGGAUUGUAUUUCUUUUUUUACAAUAACAUAAAGACAUGGAUUCAAGGAGGAAAUUCGAAAAAACCAUUAGGUCCAUCUAUGCAUAUGCUGGCAGCUGCGGAUGCAGGAUUACUCACCUUAUUGAUGACUAAUCCAAUAUGGGUAGUGAAAACACGGUUGUGUUUACAAUACGUUGAGGAUAAAAAUCUUGCUGAAUGUAAAAAAUAUAAAGGAGUGACCGAUGCUCUUAAAAAGAUUUAUAGAACCGAAGGCAUCAGGGGCUUAUACAAGGGUUUAGUUCCUGGAAUGUUUGGUGUAUCGCAUGGAGCCAUUCAGUUUAUGACGUAUGAAGAAAUGAAAAAUCAAUACAACGUGUACCAGAAUUUACCUAUAGAUACAAAGCUGAAUAUGUUCGAGUACAUCCUUUUCGCAGCUGUUUCUAAAGUGAUUGCCGCCGGUGUGACAUAUCCUUACCAAGUACUAAGGGCACGCUUGCAAGAUCAUCAUCUUGACUACAGAGGAACAUGGCACUGCAUUCAGGUGACAUGGAGGUAUGAAGGUUGGCGUGGAUUUUACAAGGGUCUUAGUGUCAACCUUACCAGAGUGACCCCAGCAACGGUGAUAACUUUUGUGGUCUACGAGAAUAUUGUCCACUUCCUCAAGUUCAACUCAUAGACUGCGUACACAUAAUGGGUGUCCAACGGAUAAAAGAAAUAAUUUCGACAAUGGCGACUGUUGGUUGAUAUCCAGGACCUUCAGCCCCGCCCAUGUGAUUUAAACUGCGACCUUUUCAGCGACGACCCGACGACCCUGUCGCACA